UCUUCUGACUGAAAUGCAACCAGAAAGGAACUUCAGAAAACUUGUGUAUUAUCCUCAGGGGUCUUGAGCACGUUCCUAAGUUGCGAUACACAACAUGGCUGUUUCUGGGAAUGUCUUUCCAGUCCCUUGCAAAAGAUUUUGGAAUGCAAUUUGGUUUAUGUUGCUGUUUUCUGGGAAGAAGGGGAAGGAAGAUGGAGCAGAUGAGAUGAAGGUGGAUGAUCUGGAAUAGCUAGGUCAACAGCACAGAAAACUCAAGAGGAUUUAAGGGCUGAGAGUGCCAUCAACAUCUGGUUGCAACCGCCAUCUGGCUUAUCACACCAUGGCUGAGAAGAAAACCAGGGUAACUGAAGACACAGUACAGAAAACUUACAAAGAACAUACCUGGGGCUCAUGAUAGCAUUUUGGGGCCCCAAACUUAGUUGUUUUGGGGCCCCAAACUUAGACUUUACCGUGAAGUUUUCAUCUCGUAUAAAACAAUAAUUUUUCACUUAAAGCCAAUUGAGGCUGAAGUUUGUCAUCUAAAGCCAAAGGAAUCCUUAUUAAUAUGGUAAAAAGGCUCUUUUAUGCCUGAACAUGUGGUCAUCUGAAAAAUCAAAGGCAAAGCUAAGAGGGAUGGUGGAAAUGCAAAGAAUCUUAUAUGUUAAUCAGCUGUCGUCUUCUGUUCUACCUCUUGAAUGAUAGUGUAGCUGGUUUCAGACUUCUGGAUUGAAGAAUUUUUAUUAUACCUUAUCUCAGCAUCCCCGGACACUAUUGUAUAUGUUGAGCAGAAUGAGGAAAUAGGGAGGAAAAGUCUGUGCAUGUGUUCUCAUGGUUGCCUGGUGGUAGAGGUGGGGAAAUGGUCUACAUUGGACAUCCAGCCCCCAGUGUCACUUCUUCCCAAUCACAUCUCUCUGUUUGCCCUCCAUCCUGCCCAGCAGCAGUAGUAGUUAUUCUAUAAUCAGUGUAGUCGAAUUUUUCUCUCUAUUGCUCUUUAUUUUAAAUACAUGAAUAAUUAAAUUCUUUAGUAACAGGCUUUAUAAUUUUAUGUCCAUAGUAUUGUACACAUUCUAUUGUGGCUUGCUUUGCUUACUUACAUUAUAUUUGGAGAUUUACUUAUAUUGGCAGAGGUAGAUGUGUUAGCCUUCAUUUGUAUAAAACUGUUUUUCUUUUGUCCUACUCUUGAAUGAUAGUUUACCUGCUUAUAGACUGGUUAAAUUGAGAAUUUUUAUUACAUCUUAUCUCAGCAUCAUCAUAGACAACUAUUGUAUAUGUUAAGCAGUCAACCACCAGUUCCUAUUAUUAAUUUAUAUCUGCUUUGAAAUGUUACAAAUAAUUUCAGAUUUUUUUAUUAUUUUAACCUCCUUAAUACUUACUGUGUUUUUUUGAAUCUGUAGAUUCAGGUUCAUUCAUUAAUGUUGGAAAAUACUUUACCAUUAUCUAUGCAAAUACCCCCCCCAUAUUCUAUGUCCUUUCAUUCUGAAAACCCUACUAGAUAUGUGUGACAUCUAUACACUCUAAACUAUUUCACUUAAUCCUAAAUUCUCUCAUUGUUUUGCAGUAUAACUUCCUCAAAUUUGUUUUCCAAUCUGUUAAUUCUCUCUUCAGGGGUGUUUAAUAUAUUACUUAAUCGGUUACUGUUUUUUAAUUGCAGUUACUACUUUUUCCAUAACUACAUGUUGUAUAGCCACUUUCUCAAAGGUCCCUAAUCUCUUUUCAUAGGGCCUUAAUCUUUCAUUAGUAAAUUAAUAUUUUUCUUUAUGUUUGCAAUAAUUUUAAACAAAUUUUUAUAUUGUUUUCCAGACUCUUCUGUUUAAGUUCGAGAAAUAUAAUUUUCAUGAAGUUUAUUUGGCUGUAUUAUGCACUGUUCUUGUGUGUGUGUGUGUGUGUGUGUGUGUGUGUGUGUGUGUGUGUGUUUUCCUUGCAGAAAGCCUUUGGCUCCCCUUUGUAAUAGAUUUCUGGUUUUGUUUCUCCUGAGCAUCCCAGGAGUAUCACUUGUCAAAGAGUCAAUAUUUUUAUUAUAUAUUUUGUGAUAUAUUUUCACUUCUUUGCUCCCUACACAUUAAAUCAGAAACUUUAAGAACUGUUUCUCCCUU